UGCGUAGGCGGAAUAUUAAGUCAGUGGUGAAAUCCUGCGGCUCAACCGUAGAACUGCCAUUGAUACUGAUAUUCUUGAAUGUAGUUGAGGUAGGCGGAAUGUGUAAUGUAGCGGUGAAAUGCUUAGAUAUUACACAGAACACCGAUUGCGAAGGCAGCUUACUAAACUAUUAUUGACGCUGAGGCACGAAAGCGUGGGGAGCGAACAGGAUUAGAUACCCUGGUAGUCC
rnacentral:rRNA from 1 species